AAUAAUGCAGCGUUUCGAAUUUGUUCAGCGACAUCAAAAUUAUGAAGCAGGAACACAUCAGCAAACAAAUUCAGCGCAGAUCAUGGGUCCAUCAUCAAUGCAUCAUACGACAUGCUACCGUUAAUUCACCGGAUUGACACCAUUAAACGGCUUUGCAGGUUAACACCUCUCAAAGGUUGACUGCUCCUGUAACUUAAAUCCAGCCAUAAUGAGGAGGACAGCAGGUUAACGACGUGUGUACGGCUGUUUGCGGGGCCAGUCUACAAUUUCGCUUCAGACGCACAAACGCAACAAUAUUUACGACUCUUUUAAGCAUCGAUCACACUGACAGCUCUUAGUCCCACCACAUGGACUUCAUUAGUCUCAAAGAUUACAUUCCACUACAAUAUACCUGCAUUUUCCAA